rnacentral:rRNA from 1 species
UACGUAGGGUGCGAGCGUUGUCCGGAAUUAUUGGGCGUAAAGAGCUCGUAGGCGGUCUGUCGCGUCGAUCGUGAAAACUUGGGGCUUAACCCUGAGCUUGCGGUCGAUACGGGCAUGACUGGAGUUCGGCAGGGGAGACUGGAAUUCCUGGUGUAGCGGUGAAAUGCGCAGAUAUCAGGAGGAACACCGGUGGCGAAGGCGGGUCUCUGGGCCGAUGACUGACGUGAGGAGCGAAAGCG